UGUCCAGCAACUCCUAUUCCUACCUCCUCACGGUACUGGCCGGAGUACGAGCGAUCUUAUGGAAGAUCGGGUACCCCGGUGGGAACUUUGGUGAUAUGCUGACAGGGAAGG
rnacentral:ribozyme from 1 species